UCUUUCCGGCUCCGGUUGGAAGAUGGCGCUGUGUGGAGGCCCACAGACAAAUGUUUGCUAUUACAAUGGUGUAGCAGCAGACCAAUAUCGCCAUCAACUGGGCCGGAGGAGUCCACCCACGCCAAGAAGUCCGAGGCAUUUGGAUUUUACGUUUUUGAGCUACUCGAGACAUCAGGGGCUGAAAAGGUGAAAUACUACGCAGUGAAUUACCAAGAAGCCAUCUUUAAACCGAUUGAGCAAAGACCAAAGAAUACCUUGUGAGGAGGCCCAAGAAUGCUGCCAACCACGGGGAUAAAGGAAGCAGCAGCAGAAGAGAGGCCAAAAGAGGUUAAACCAAGUUGUUCCACUCCUGAUGAUUGGACCUUUGUUGAAUCCUGUGAGUAUGUGAUCCUGCCAUCUUUACCUGCGUACCUUAAAGCUACAAGUUACUGUUGUAGUUUGACAUUUGUUUUUUGUUUUUUUGCUAUUAAAAGAAUCAAAAGUUGUUGGUUUGCUGUUCAUUGUGGAAAUGUUCUUUUUUUUUUUUUUUUA